CUGGUAUUGUUAUAAAUGCUGUGUGCCAGGAUGGUAUUGUUAUAUCUAUUGUGUGGCAGGCUGGUAUUGUUAUAAAUGCUGUGUGCCAGGCUGUUGUUAUAUUUAUUGUGUGCCAGGAUGGUAUUGUUAGAAAUACUGUGUGCCAGGCUGGUAUUGUUAUAUCUAUUGUGUGCCAGGCUGGUAUUGUUAUAAAUGCUGUGUGCCAGG